UUAUAAGGAAGGCGACGGUCCUCCAUUUCAGCCUUUCUCUCCAGAAGGACGUGGCACUGGUAUUUCUGGUCUUGUAAACACUGGACUUUAAAAAAUAU
rnacentral:lncRNA from 1 species